rnacentral:rRNA from 17 species
AACGCUGGCGGCGUGCCUAAUACAUGCAAGUCGAGCGAACAGACGAGGAGCUUGCUCCUCUGACGUUAGCGGCGGACGGGUGAGUAACACGUGGAUAACCUACCUAUAAGACUGGGAUAACUUCGGGAAACCGGAGCUAAUACCGGAUAAUAUAUUGAACCGCAUGGUUCAAUAGUGAAAGACGGUUUUGCUGUCACUUAUAGAUGGAUCCGCGCCGCAUUAGCUAGUUGGUAAGGUAACGGCUUACCAAGGCAACGAUGCGUAGCCGACCUGAGAGGGUGAUCGGCCACACUGGAACUGAGACACGGUCCAGACUCCUACGGGAGGCAGCAGUAGGGAAUCUUCCGCAAUGGGCGAAAGCCUGACGGAGCAACGCCGCGUGAGUGAUGAAGGUCUUCGGAUCGUAAAACUCUGUUAUUAGGGAAGAACAAAUGUGUAAGUAACUAUGCACGUCUUGACGGUACCUAAUCAGAAAGCCACGGCUAACUACGUGCCAGCAGCCGCGGUAAUACGUAGGUGGCAAGCGUUAUCCGGAAUUAUUGGGCGUAAAGCGCGCGUAGGCGGUUUUUUAAGUCUGAUGUGAAAGCCCACGGCUCAACCGUGGAGGGUCAUUGGAAACUGGAAAACUUGAGUGCAGAAGAGGAAAGUGGAAUUCCAUGUGUAGCGGUGAAAUGCGCAGAGAUAUGGAGGAACACCAGUGGCGAAGGCGACUUUCUGGUCUGUAACUGACGCUGAUGUGCGAAAGCGUGGGGAUCAAACAGGAUUAGAUACCCUGGUAGUCCACGCCGUAAACGAUGAGUGCUAAGUGUUAGGGGGUUUCCGCCCCUUAGUGCUGCAGCUAACGCAUUAAGCACUCCGCCUGGGGAGUACGACCGCAAGGUUGAAACUCAAAGGAAUUGACGG